rfam:Actinobacteria bacterium RBG_16_64_13 RBG_16_scaffold_576, whole genome shotgun sequence.
UCCGGUGACCAUAGCGAGGGGGAACCACCUCUUCCCAUUCCGAACAGAGAAGUUAAGCCUCUCAACGCCGAUGGUACUGCAGGGGCGACCCUGUGGGAGAGUAGGAAGUCGCCGGGA